rnacentral:rRNA from 1 species
AUUGAACGCUGGCGGCAGGCCUAACACAUGCAAGUCGGGCGAGCGGGGGACGGGGGAGAAAGGUCGGGGAAACUGCCGGUGGGGGGGGGAUACCACCGGGAAACGGUGGCUAAUACCCCAUACCAUCAGAUGUGCCCAGAGGGGAUUAGCUAGUGGGGGGGGUAAUGGCCCACCUAGGAGACGAUCCCUAGCUGGUCUGAGAGGAUGACCAGCCACACUGGAACUGAGACACGGUCCAGACUCCUACGGGAGGCAGCAGUGGGGAAUAUUGCACAAUGGGCGCAAGCCUGAUGCAGCCAUGCCGCGUGUGUGAAGAAGGCCUUCGGGUUGUAAAGCACUUUCAGCGAGGAGGCGUUACUCGCAGAAGAAGCACCGGCUAACUCCGUGCCAGCAGCCGCGGUAAUUC